AAAAACUUAGGAUAAAUAAACCAAGAGCCUUCAAAGCUCAAAAUACGGGUAAACCCCCAUAGUUUUUG
rnacentral:tRNA from 1 species